GCAGUGUUGUCGUCUCGUAGGCUUGAAAGAUUGGAUACAAUCAGUGAUGCACAUUUACCAGACAGAGGAUGUGCAGCGUUUACUGUUGAUUUCUCUCUUUUCCUCCCUAUCACCUCAGUUUAGUUCCAGGAUCCACACUCCUCCACCAUAGUCAGGAGAUUCAGGGAAAGUUGGCAGGGUUCAGCUUUCAAGUUGACCCUUGAUGAACCAUGGUCAAUCCUGUUAAGAGGCGUGAAAGCCAAUCCCAGCCAAUGAGACUGGGGAGAAAUCACUGAAGAACUUGUGGAAAACAGACCCUCUGGAUAAAAGACACGUGUGGGGAAAAAGGGGCUUUUUAAUGUUAUUCUGGAUGUUUCCCAAAAGUACUGCUGCUGCCUUGCCUCCCUGACAGACACUGGCCUUAGGAUGACAUGCGGCAGGAAGGAAGGACGGAUCUGGGGUUUUUCAAGACUCACUGAGAUGCACAAGGAACCAACCCUCAAGUAGCCAACUCGUUCCUGUUUGCAUGUGUCGACUGAAAAGAAUCAAAAUAAACAAAAUAUAACUAUUUCUAAGAGGUUACAACUUGCAGGCAGGAAGCAGGCCUCUACCUGAGGCCAUAAAGCAUACUUUGAAGGAGAAAAGGUAGGUAUUUAUGCUAGGUGGAGAGGUAGGAUAUACGUAUUCUGUAGCAUACAGGAGAAGCCUAUGAAAAUUCAUGGAGGAAACUCGUUAGAGACACGCACUGGGCUUACAUAUGAAGAAUAUCCAAAAGCGGAUGACCUGUGUUCACUCUGGGGUGAAGAUUUAACAUUUAAAUGUAUUAUAAUUAGGCUGUAAAUGCAAAAAGGUGAAACAUAGGGCACAAGUUCACGAUCUGUGCAAUCUCCAGAGACCAGUCUGAUCUAGCCUGCAGCUGGCAGUCAUCUGUCAAGAAGGGGCUCUUUGUAGCCCAGAGUAGCUGUCAGGUUGGAACCAUAAAACCAAAAGGAGGGCAUCGGCGGUUAGGUGAAGAAAAGAAGUCUUUUGGCCUUUUUUCCUCUUCAAGUCAGCUUUUGAUAAGAUCUAGUAAUAAUAAGGGGAUGGGUGUGGCUGCAGGUGGGACAUGUCGGUUCUCUGUCCUGUCACAGCUAAGAACUAAGAA
rnacentral:lncRNA from 1 species